CUACGUGCCAGCAGCCGCGGUAAUACGUAGGGUGCGAGCGUUAAUCGGAAUUACUGGGCGUAAAGCGAGCGCAGACGGUUACUUAAGCAGGAUGUGAAAUCCCCGGGCUCAACCUGGGAACUGCGUUCUGAACUGGGUGACUAGAGUGUGUCAGAGGGAGGUAGAAUUCCACGUGUAGCAGUGAAAUGCGUAGAGAUGUGGAGGAAUACCGAUGGCGAAGGCAGCCUCCUGGGAUAACACUGACGUUCAUGCUCGAAAGCGUGGGUAGCAAACAGGAUUAGAUACCCUGGUAGUCCACGCCCUAAACGAUGUCAAUUAGCUGUUGGGCAACUUGAUUGCUUAGUAGCGUAGCUAACGCGUGAAAUUGACCGCCUGGGGAGUACGACCGCAAGGUUGAAACUCAAAGGAAUUGACGGGGGCCCGCACAAGCGGUGGAGCAUGUGGUUUAAUUCGAAGCAACGCGAAGAACCUUACCAGGUCUUGACAU
rnacentral:rRNA from 1 species